ACCACAGCUGCCUCGACGAGAAGGAGGGAACUGCGCAAGCUGCGGGGAGAGUCACGAGAGGAGGAGCUGCCGUUUCCGCAACGCAGAGUGCAGGCAGUGCAGAAAAUCGGGACACAUCACCCAGGUGUGUUGGGCUCGGCCCACCCGACACCAGGCAUCAGAUGACCAAUCCAAGAGCCCCAGGUCCCGGGGCCCAACGCACCAAGGCAACUCGACGGAGCUCACGGACAUCCAGGUAUACCAGUUGCCCCACCCCAACGUAGAGAAAAUUUAUGUAGAGGUACAGAUAGAGGGGGCCCCAUGCCGCAUGGAGCUUGACACGGGUUCAACUCUAUCCAUAAUCUCGGCAAGGACCUUAAGGAAACUGUGACCUACUGGGGGUCCCAAACUCAGGCCGGCCCCAUUCACCCUCCAGGACUUCCAGAAACGUAAGGUCCCCACAAUGGGGGUGGGGACCUUCAGGGUGCAAUACUGAGGGCGGACGCGGCAACUGGACUUGCUUGUGGUCAAGGGCCCCUACAUUAGCUUACUGGGAUUGGCAUGGUUUGGACCACUGGGGCUAGCCGUCACCGGGGUGAACCACACUAGCUUACAAGUGGACGUGGACGCCAUAUGCAAGGAAUUUCCAGAGGUUUUCGAUGGGAAAUUGGGACAGUAUACGGGCCCCCCCAUUGCGCUACAGCUUGACCCCACAGUACGACCGGUCAGGCUCAAGGCCCGCCGGGUCCCGUUCGCCUUGAAACCCCGUAUAGACGAGGAAUUGGACCGGCUUGUGGAGCAAGGAGUGCUGGAGCCGGUGCCUAAUGCCCCCUGGGAAACCCCAAUCGUCACACCCAUCAAGUCUAAUGGUUCGGCCCGCAUCUGGGCAGACUACAAAUGUACCAUAAACAAGGCCCUCACGGCCCACGCAUACCCAGUGCCAGUGGUCAGCCAUGUCCUUGCCACCCUGGCUGGGUCGAAAUUUUUUGGCAAGCUGGACUUGGCCCAAGCAUAUCAACAGCUGCCAGUAGAUGAGGCCACAGCAGAGGCACAGACGAUUGUGACGCACAGAGGAGCAUUCAGGGUAAAGCGGCUGCAAUUCGGUGUCAGCGUGGCACCAGGCAUAUUCCAGAAUCUAAUGGACUCUCUCCUUAAAGGGAUUCCUGGUGUCACCCCCUUCUUCGAUGAUGUGUUGAUUGCCGGGCCCACACCAGAGGAGUUUGAGGACCGCCUCCGCACCGUUCUGCACCAUUUCCAGACGGCGGGUCUCAAGGUGAAGCGGGAAAAAUGUCUACUAGGAGUGCCUCAGAUGGACUUUCUGGGAUUUAUGGUGGACGCAGAAGGGGUCCACCCGGCUGGGGACAAGGUACG